AGCUCAGCGGUAGAGUGCAUGUCUUGCAAGCAUGAGGCCCUGGGUUCGAUUCCUCAG
rnacentral:tRNA from 1 species